UUAAUACUCCCUCCGUCCGGAAUUGCUUGUCAUCAAAAUGGAUGUACCUAGAACUAAAAUACAUCUAGAUACAUCUAUUUCAAUGAUAAGUAUUUCCGGACGGAGGGAGUAGCAA
rnacentral:pre_miRNA from 1 species